UUAAUUUUAGUGAACUAAAAUGACGUUGGUCUUUACUGUAUAUAACUUGCAUAGUAAGUUCCAUUGAUUUGUCUCAAGAUGCAAACCAGUAAUGUAUUUUUCUAAGGCAUUUUUUAUAAAAUGGACAUAAAUAUCUUAAUUCAACUAAGGCAUAGUCCUGUUAAACCGUGUCCGUGAAACCGGGCUUUAGUGUUUUAUUUAUAACAUGCAAAUAUCGCAGUGCAAAGUUUGGCGAAUUCAUAUGGGAGAAAAUAAAAUAAUAAAAAAUCAAAUUAAGAAGAAAAUAAUUAACGAUAAUCCCAUUGAGCAAGAACUAAAUUUCACACAUCCAUACCGCUUAAUUAUUAGCAAGACUGUCACUUUAAAAGCCGUUGCUGGCAGCACGUGCACGCGUUUUAGACGCGACCGCGGCGCCUUCCUCAGAGUGGGAGAAAGCAGUCAGAAAUGUUCGUGGAGUCCUUGGACGGAGUUGAAAUGGAUCCAUGUGACUGCUGUUGAGGUGGAACGGUACGCUUCAGGAAUGGAUUCCCCAUAUUGGACGCAGUGGAGCUGGACAGAGAUGGCUCAGAUACAGAGAUGUGGGUGUGGACUUCCUAGCAAUGAGGGAUCAUGGGACUGACCGAGCGCAUUUACGAACAUACCUGCGGCCACUGGCGUCUCUGAGGACGGCUGCUCCUGGGUCCACGGCUCGAGCCUCUAGUUCCUGCACUUCCUCCAGGAGAGUCUUCUUCACUGUGCGUCUUCCCCUGCACACACGCAAAGCAAGACGAAACCGUGUGAAUUCCAAGGGGUCUCUCCUUCAUCCUGGGGGCUGGAGUGCGGACAGCUGAACGGACGGGUGUGUCGACGUGCCCUCAACACACACCACAGCUGCUCUGUCAUACAUGAACUGACCAUAUGGAGAGCGACGCAAAAGGCAAAAAUCUGUCAGUCAUCUGCUGAGGGUUAUUUAAUUCCCUCACCGCUGCUGCCCUCUGCCUCACUGUUUUGUGGGCGUGGUUCGGGGCGUGGCUGAGAUGACACGCGCUCCUUUGCACCAUCCAGGCGCUGCCUCAGCUCCUCUGCUG